CGCACGAGAGAGUGUGCGUCAGAGGGGAACUGAGAGCGCGCCGAUAGAAGCAGCAGUUGCAAGUGAGGAGAAAAUAGUUGUUAAAAAAUUGUUAAACGGAUAUAAUCCAGGCUGGUUAUUAACUCGUGGACCUGUGGUGGUUUCAGUUGUGUGACUGCACAGAGUGGAUGACUUAAUUUAGUGUUUAUAUUAGUGUUUUGUUGCUGCACAUGAGAGAUCUCCGGUGGGGGAGGGCAUUCAGGCCUACUUCAACGGAGAUUGAGCAGGGGAGAACAAGGAUGUGAGAUCGCACAUGUGCCAGUUACCACGUGAUUGAUAAUCCAGAGGCUCAUAUAAGAGCACAUAUAGGCCACUGCCGUUGUUUUGCACACCUGUAUUGGUUCUUUAACAUUGGUUGCAUUAUUUCAAGUCAAAUC